rnacentral:rRNA from 1 species
CAGAGGUGGCAAGCGUUGUUCGGAAUUACUGGGCGUAAAGGGCGCGUAGGCGGCCUUCUAAGUCAGACGUGAAAUCCCCCGGCUUAACCUGGGAACUGCGUCUGAUACUGGGAGGCUUGAGUAUGGGAGAGGGAUGUAGAAUUCCAGGUGUAGCGGUGAAAUGCGUAGAUAUCUGGAGGAAUACCGGUGGCGAAGGCGGCAUCCUGGACCAUAACUGACGCUGAGGCGCGAAAGCUAGGGGAGCAAACGGGAUUAGAUACCCCGGUAGUCCUAGCCCUAAACGAUGAAUACUUGGUGUGGCGGGUAUCGAUCCCUGCCGUGCCGAAGCUAACGCAUUAAGUAUUCCGCCUGGGGAGUACGGUCGCAAGGCUG